AUCACCUGGGGACCUUGUUAAAAUGAAGAUUAUGAUUCAGUGGGUCUGGGGUGGAGCCUGAGAUUCUGCAUUUCUAACAUGUUCCUAGGUGAUGCCCA
rfam:Loxodonta africana unplaced genomic scaffold scaffold_122, whole genome shotgun sequence.